AAGAAUUUAAGUUAAUUAAACUAUUAGUUUUCAAAGCUAAAAAUAUCAGUAUAUUCUUUUAAUUCUUA
rnacentral:tRNA from 1 species